UAUUCACUAUAUGCUUAUUUGUUUUAAUGUUUUAUUGUCUAACAUAGGACAAGACUCUAGUUAAAUACAAAUGAUUUUUAUUAGAUAAGCAGUCUAGUAAAAUGCAAUCUUUACAUCCUUGCUCAGAUAAUUCGUUAAUUGGUAUAGGUUCAAGACACUAACAGCCUAAACAAGAGGUCGUCGCUUAGUUAAUUAAUCAAAUGGUUUAAUUAGUUAAGGAUUCAACUUGGGCACUCAUAAUAAUUUAACCCAACUUUGCUUGUGUUUUUUCGUUAUUUAUGUGGGUGUUAAAUCUAGUCUAUGUUUAGUAUCUAAUCGAUUCUCCCAGCAAUGCCUUAGAUUACAACCUUUUAAAACUAAGGCUAAAUUGGUUCAGUGCAAUGAGACCUCUUAAAUAGUUAUGCCAACUUAUUUAUGUUGCUAAUUAGGUAAGUCAACAAUUAAUUAGCUAACCUUUCGGGGAUAGUUACAUUUACGCUCGAUCGUUAGGCAUUUAAGAUAUAGAAUCAUUCAUUUAGCACAAACUCUUAGUGGUCUCAAUCUUUAAUUUUGGCAAAAUCCUCAAAUAAGCUAUGGAUUUUUCGACAAGUAAUCCUCUCUAUGCCAUACAUACUUAGUUUAGUUCUACUGGUUGAAUAACAUUUUUUUGAGGUCUUAGUUUAUUUCUUGUCAUUAGAUAGUGUUUACACAUUUUUGUUUUCUGACUUAAGUCAAAUCUCUUGUUGAAGUACUCCUGAAAGAAGACAAAUAUAUAAUUGUUAUGUUAUAAUUUAAAGUAAUUUGCUUUCACUCUUCAAUAUUAGUCAAAUGGGUUUGGCAUCUUUUUGAAUCAUGGAGAUAAGAUUGGAAGUUUUCCUUUGCUUUGAGAAAAUUGUUUGGUUGCUUACCAAUUUUAAAGCAUGUAUUAUGAAUUAUUUGUUGUCCUGCUCACUUUGUUCACCUUAAGAAAAGGGAGAAAAAAGAGUUUAGAGUAUUUUUUUACAUUUGAAGUGUGCUACAAAGGACAUUUAUAAAAAGGGAAGCUUUUUAUGAACCUGAAUAACUUUUGUUGCAGCAAUGGAUUUAGACUAGUUGUAGUUUGCUACUGGCCACUAUUCUUUUAAUAGUGAUGUAAAAAUGUUUUACAACUUACAAUUGGUUUGCUAUUGGGUACUAUUCCUUAGUGAGCUGGUAUAGUACUUUGCAAUCUUGAGAAGGAAAUGGCUUCGAAAAGAGUUGUAUCUUCUAUAUUAUAUCAGAUACAAGUAGGAUCAUGUGUUACUGUUCAGCUGCUACCUUAACAAGCCUAAGAUAGUUUAAAACACUUGCUAUGUCUAUCUUUUAUGUCAUCGCUCUUGCAUUUAAUUAUAAAUAAGCACAUAAUAAAUUUUGCACUUUUACUUGGUGUCAGUGGGUCUAACUAUUUAGUAAGUUGCAACUUUCGCAUUAAUUAUAAAAAUAAUGUUAAAAUGUUUUACAACUUAUGAUUGGUUUCUACCUGAUUACAGGUUGAACGCAAAAGGGUGCAGAGAAGUGUGGUCUGUGGUAGCAUUCCUUUGCAGAUGGGUAAUAUGUUUUUAUGAGUAGCAGUAGUAGCUAAAACCAAUCCUUUUUUUUGUGUUCUGUUUUGUGAAUUUUUUUCUCUAACAAAUGUUUCUUUAUUUUGUAUCUUGGUGGAGGGAACAAAUUGAUCGAGUCUGCAACACCAGUUGGACCCAAUGUGGCGGAGCUAGCAUACUAAAUUGGGGAUAUAGCUUGCUGCCGACUAGUUUACCACUGUACUGUGGAUGGCCAGUUCUUGUUGCUGCAGCCAUUGCUCUUCUUAUAUCAAGAACUAGUAUGAAAUCUUUUUUACUUACUCAGAUUAGGAUAGAAGGCUAGGUUGCUUAUCCUUUCACCAUAGUAGUUGUAGUUUUGCUCAUUCGUUUAUUGCCAUUUGAUUUCUGCUUAUAUUUGUUGGGCCUUUGUACUUUGAUUAUCUUAUUUAUCUAUAGUAGUUAAUGCUCCUUUCUUUCCGGACUGUUCUACCAUGACUUUCUCGCUUUUGUUAUUCCUUGUUUUCAUAUUGUUUUUGAUAUGCUUGGCCCUAUCUGACCUUUUGUCUUGUUUUCCUCUCUUGAGCCGAGGGUCUUUCGGAAACAGCCGCCCUACCUUUCAAGGUGGGGGUUAGGUCUGCGUACACUCUACCCUCCCCAGACCCCACAUGGUGGGAUUCUACUGGGCUUCUUGUUGUUGUUGCUCGGGAGGUAUCUCUAUCAUCCACAAAGAUUAGUGCCAUUGAUCAUGUUAAUAAGCUUUAGGUGCUUGUAUUCAGAAGAUUGAAAUUUGAAUAAUCAAAUAUGAGAUGAUAGAAACUCACUUUAUUGCCAUCUUCACCUAGUGCAUUAGUAUAUAUCAAAAUGGUGUUCACGGUGGCAUUUUAGGUGUAUACUUGCGGUGAUUUUCUACAUUUAUUUCAUCUUUUGACAUAUUUAUUUUAUUA